AGCGAACGCUGGCGGCAGGCCUAACACAUGCAAGUCGAACGAAGUCUUCGGACUUAGUGGCGGACGGGUGAGUAACACGUGGGAACGUGCCUUUAGGUCCGGAAUAACUCAGGGAAACUUGUGCUAAUACCGAAUGUGCCCUUCGGGGGAAAGAUUUAUCGCCUUUAGAGCGGCCCGCGUCUGAUUAGCUAGUUGGUGAGGUAAAGGCUCACCAAGGCGACGAUCAGUAGCUGGUCUGAGGAUGAUCAGCCACAUUGGGGCUGAGACACGGCCCAAACUCCUACGGGAGGCAGCAGUGGGGAAUCUUGCGCAAUGGGCGAAAGCCUGACGCAGCCAUGCCGCGUGAAUGAUGAAGGUCUUAGGAUUGUAAAAUUCUUUCACCGGGGACGAUAAUGACGGUACCCGGAGAAGAAGCCCCGGCUAACUUCGUGCCAGCAGCCGCGGUAA
rnacentral:rRNA from 1 species